rnacentral:tRNA from 1 species
GGGCCUAUGGCUCAGAGGUUAAGAGCACUGGCUGCCUUCCAGAGAUACUGAGUUCAAUUCCCAGUAACCACA